rnacentral:rRNA from 1 species
ACGCUCGACACCUACUGGAGGCAGCAGUGGGGAAUAUUGCACAAUGGGGGAAACCCUGAUGCAGCAACGCCGCGUGAAGGAAGACGGUUUUCGGAUUGUAAACUUCUGUUCUUAGUGAAGAUAGUGACGGUAGCUAAGGAGCAAGCCACGGCUAACUACGUGCCGGCAGCCGCGGUAAUCUGAGCGGGCUGGCAAGGC